rnacentral:rRNA from 1 species
AGAACGAACGCUGGCGGCAUGCCUAAUACAUGCAAGUCGAACGAACUCUUCGGAGUUAGUGGCGCACGGGUGCGUAACGCGUGGGAAUCUGCCCUUGGGUUCGGAAUAACAGUUGGAAACGACUGCUAAUACCGGAUGAUGACGAAAGUCCAAAGAUUUAUCGCCCAGGGAUGAGCCCGCGUAGGAUUAGCUAGUUGGUGAGGUAAAGGCUCACCAAGGCGACGAUCCUUAGCUGGUCUGAGAGGAUGAUCAGCCACACUGGGACUGAGACACGGCCCAGACUCCUACGGGAGGCAGCAGUAGGGAAUAUUGGACAAUGGGCGAAAGCCUGAUCCAGCAAAUGCCGCGUGAGUGAUGAAGGCCUUAGGGUUGUAAAGCUCUUUUACCCGAGAUGAUAAUGACAGUAUCGGGAGAAUAAGCCCCGGCUAACUCCGUGCCAGCAGCCGC